rnacentral:rRNA from 1 species
AGAGUUUGAUCCUGGCUCAGGACGAACGCUGGCGGCGUGCUUAACACAUGCAAGUCGAACGGAAAGGCCCUGCUUGCAGGGUACUCGAGUGGCGAACGGGUGAGUAACACGUGGGUGAUCUGCCCUGCACUUCGGGAUAAGCUUGGGAAACUGGGUCUAAUACCGGAUAGGAGCCAUCUUUAGUGUGGUGGUUGGAAAGUUUUUUCGGUGUAGGAUGAGCUCGCGGCCUAUCAGCUUGUUGGUGGGGUAAUGGCCUACCAAGGCGGCGACGGGUAGCCGGCCUGAGAGGGUGUACGGCCACAUUGGGACUGAGAUACGGCCCAGACUCCUACGGGAGGCAGCAGUGGGGAAUAUUGCACAAUGGGCGGAAGCCUGAUGCAGCAACGCCGCGUGCGGGAUGACGGCCUUCGGGUUGUAAACCGCUUUCGCCUGUGACGAAGCGUGAGUGACGGUAAUGGGUAAAGAAGCACCGGCUAACUACGUGCCAGCAGCCGCGGUGAUACGUAGGGUGCGAGCGUUGUCCGGAUUUAUUGGGCGUAAAGGGCUCGUAGGUGGUUGAUCGCGUCGGAAGUGUAAUCUUGGGGCUUAACCCUGAGCGUGCUUUCGAUACGGGUUGACUUGAGGAAGGUAGGGGAGAAUGGAAUUCCUGGUGGAGCGGUGGAAUGCGCAGAUAUCAGGAGGAACACCAGUGGCGAAGGCGGUUCUCUGGGCCUUUCCUGACGCUGAGGAGCGAAAGCGUGGGGAGCGAACAGGCUUAGAUACCCUGGUAGUCCACGCUGUAAACGGUGGGUACUAGGUGUGGGGUCCAUUCCACGGGUUCCGUGCCGUAGCUAACGCUUUAAGUACCCCGCCUGGGGAGUACGGCCGCAAGGCUAAAACUCAAAGGAAUUGACGGGGCCCCGCACAAGCGGCGGAGCAUGCGGAUUAAUUCGAUGCAACGCGUAGAACCUUACCUGGGUUUGACAUGGAUCGGGAGUGCUCAGAGAUGGGUGUGCCUCUUUUGGGGUCGGUUCACAGGUGGUGCAUGGCUGUCGUCAGCUCGUGUCGUGAGAUGUUGGGUUAAGUCCCGCAACGAGCGCAACCCUUGUC